rnacentral:tRNA from 3 species
GUCUUCUUAGCUCAGUUGGUAGAGCAACUGACUCUUAAUCAGUGGGUCUAGGGUUCGAGUCCCUAAGAGGACACCA